CUGAGGAACUCCCUGGGGCCGAUGCAUCAAGAGGAUGACUGGAAUGGCAUCCAAAAGCCAUGACUACAUCUAAGCAGGAAGCCAGGACAUCCCGGCAUUGGUCGUGGUCACGGAUUGACAUGUUUUGGUCAACAUCAGAGAUUAAAGAGGCGAUUAAAGAACUGGAGAUAGGGUCGAGCUUGAAGAUGGAAGAAAUUGGCUUUACCACAUUGAUCAACUCCGAGGGCGAGCAUUCAUCUCUGCCUCUCGGCUGGAAGGGGCCUUACCAGAACUAAUUGCUGAGGCAGCCUCCUCAGACAGUCCCCAACCAAUCAACGUCCCAAACGCUCCUUCCUGUACAACGUUCCCAUCAGGCUCAUCUGAAGAAAUGAGCCUUCUUCCGUCUGUGGAGCCACCAAUUGAAAUUUCAGCAAAGUCUCCAGGAGCUCCAGCGGCUCAGGAGCAGCCUCCUCCUCCAGGUAAAGUCACUCCUGAACUGCAUUGAUCUGGGAGGAGUGCAGGCAUCCAGCGUAUCUACAAGAUUAUGCAUGUGCCAUGCAGGAGGGGAGGAAUGUUGCGUCCGCAAGCCACACCGUUGGUAGGCAUGAUGCAGAAGCACCUCCCAUUGGCUAAGACAUGACAGCUCAGCCAGCCGGAGAAUAAACAUGCACCAUUGGUUAAACCAUUUGACAGCUGCUAUAUAAAUAGCGGCUUGACAGAAAAUUGUUGUUGCCGGUUCUGCAUUACUUGUUGCAUGUUAGCUGUUACCCUAUUAAAAGGGAAUUACCUUGAAAA